GAUGAACGCUGGCGGCGUGCCUAAUACAUGCAAGUCGAACGCUGGAAAUCUAGCUUGCUAGAUUGAAGGAGUGGCGAACGGGUGAGUAAUACAUAAGCAACCUACCCACGAAGACUGGGAUAAUCUCUGGAAACGGGGACUAAUACCGGAUAGGUAAUCGGAAGGCCUCUUCUGAUUAUUAAAGGUUAAAAACACUGGUGGAUGGGCUUAUGGCGCAUUAGUUAGUUGGUGAGGUAACGGCCCACCAAGACGAUGAUGCGUAGCCGGCCUGAGAGGGUGAACGGCUACAUUGGGACUGAGACACGGCCCAGACUCCUACGGGAGGCAGCAGUAGGGAAUUUUCGGCAAUGGGGGAAACCCUGACCGAGCAACGCCGCGUGAGUGAUGACGGCCUUCGGGUUGUAAAGCUCUGUUGUAAGGGAAGAACGGUAGAUAGAGAAUAUCUAAAUGACGGUACCUUACCAGAAAGCCACGGCUAACUACGUG
rnacentral:rRNA from 1 species